AAUGGAAAUUCCUGUUGUGACUCAUGGAAACGAAUCCAGCUAAUAUUCAUGAGGAUGGGGGUUCGAUCCCUGGCCUCCCUCAGUGGGUCGGGGAUCUGGCGUAGCUGUGAGCUGUGGUGUAGGUCACCGACACGGCUCAGAUCCUGCACUGCUGUGGCUGUGGCAUAGGCCAGCAGCUGUAGCUCGGAUUCGAGCCCUAACCUGGGAACCUCCAUAUGCCGCAGGUGUGGCCCUUAAAAAAAAGAAAAAAGAUGAAAAUGAUCAAAAUUUAAUGUUAUGCACAAUUCACCAUAAUAAAAAACCCUCCAAAGUUAUCAUUUCCCUUACUUCUAAUAAAAAUUCUUCCUAUCUGGCAUUGUCACUGAAGUGGCUCGUGUCGCUGCUGUGGGGCAGUUACCAUCCCUGGCCCAAGAACUUCUUCAUAUCACAGGCACAGUAAAAACAAAACAAAACAAAACAAAACAAAAAAAACCUCUUCCUAAAAGAAAUUACAGGAGUUCCCAUUGUGGCACAGUGGUUAACGAAUCUGACUAGGAACCAUGAGGUUGCAGGUUCGAUCCCUGCCCUUGCUCAGUGCGUUACCGAUCCGGAGUUGCCGUGAGCUGUGGUGUAGGUUGCAGAUGCGGCUUGGGAUCCUGUGUUGCUGUAGCUCUGGCGUAGGCCGGCAGUUACAGCUCCGAUUCGAUUCAACCCCUAGCCUGGGAACCUCCAUAUGCCGCAGGAGCGGCCCAAGAAAUGGCAAAAAAAAAAAAAGAAAUUACAAAGGUAAACCCCUGCCCCCCACCCCCCAAAAAAACACAUACUAUAUAAUCCUUAUUGAGUGCUUGUGCCAGGCACUCUGCUGAAUGUUUUCCUUUUGUCGUCUAUUUAGUCCUGCACAACAUUCACAGCGGGGAUUAUUUCUCCCAUUUUCCACAGGAGAAAACCGAGUCUCUCAGGGACUCAUCCCAGGGCUUACAGCUAGGAAGGAACUUAACCAUUAUGACCACAAAAGGAAAUCGACUUGCCCAGGAACACACAGCCGGAAAGUGACAGCUCCAGGCAUGUUCGACUCACCCUGGUACAGGGACAAAGUGGGAAAAAAAAAAAAAAAAAGUGGGAGAAAACAAGUUUUUGGCAUAUUUAACCUCUGGGCAGAGUGGAGAGGCAGCCUGGAGGCUGGCAAAGAGGGUCCGUCAGAGGCCAGUAGGGAGCCCAGCCUGAAAGCAGACACCUUUCAUCUCAGAAAGUCCCUGGGACAGAUUUUCCGCCCUGUGUUUUACUGCCUGCUGGGAGUUGCAGGGAAUCAGAGCAUGUCCAAUAAAUGUUUUAUUCCAUCCUGAGCUGGCCCUCUUGGGCAAAAUAAGCUCCUUCAUCCAGGAGUAAAUGAAGGGGCAAGCAUUUCUAGGGCACCGACAUGGAGAAUGGUCUCUUUAUUUCACACGGAAAACCUGGCUCAGAGAGGUAAAGCGACUUUGCCCAGGCCCACACAGCUGGCCAGCCCCCGAGGUCCAAACCCGGGUACCUGGCUUCGGACCUGGGGCCCAGCCUAUAUUACCCGCCACCCUGGAGCUCUCUGAGAGCUGGGGCUGCCUCCGUCUCAGCCCCUGGGUCCUCCUUCUGUGUUUUUCUAAUGCAGGAACACUCAGCAGGCUAUGGACACGGGACAUUCCCAUGGCAUUGAAUCUGCAGAAACUCUCUUCCCUGCCCUAAAGGGCACCAAACUGCUAGGUCAUCAAAAAUCUAUGAAGGUGAAUUCCUGUUGUGGCUCUGCGGUGUGAGCCUGAUGUGACUAGCAUCCUUGAAGAUGCAGAUUCGAUCCCUGACCUUGCUCAGUGGGUUAAGGAUCCAGCACUGCCGUGAGCUGUGGUGUAGGUCACAGAUGCAUCUUGGAUCUGGCUUUGCUGUGGCUGUGGUGUAGGCCGGCAGCUGCAGUCCGAUUCAACCCCUAACCUGGGAACUUCCAUAUGCCUCUGGUGUGGCCCUAAAAAGAAAAAAAAAAAAUCUAGGAGGGUAACUUUUCUUGGAAAUGCCCUCCAUGUGUGCCUCCUUCUCCAGCCCCAUCUCCCACCAGCCUCUGCCCUCCUUCCUCCCCCAGUUCCUCCAAGCCGCUGUCUUCUUUGUCACCCCAGGCCUUCGCCUCUGCUGCGCCCCCUCCUAGAGGCUGCCCCACCCCUGCCUUUGCUGAACUAACCCCUGCUCAUUCUCAGGUCUCAGUCUGAACGUCACUUCUUCUGGGAAGCCCUCCUUGAUCCUCUCUCUGGUCACCACUGCACCCUGUACCACACACACACACACACACACACACACACACACUCCUACACACUCACUCUCACACACUCACACUCACACUCAGAGACACACAUACCUUAUCCAAGGUGCCCCAGUGCUUAAAAUGCCACCCGGCACAGAACAGGCUCUCAAUACAUUUCAAUAAAUUGAAUAAGGUCACAAAAAGAAUCCAUUCGAAUGCAGUUAACAAUCCUGGAUUUGUCACUAAGUAACUGAAGAGGCCUUGGGCAAGAUGCUUCAGGUCUCCGGGACUCAGUUUUCUCAUGGGUAAAAUGGGUAGAAAAUAAGAACCUUCCUGGGAGUUCUCGUUGUGGCACAGCAGAGGUGAGUCCACCUAGUAUGCAUGAGGAUGCAGGUUCGAUUCCUGGCAUGGCCAUGACCUGUGGUGUAAGUCGCAGACGCGGCUUGGAUCCAGCAUUGCUGUGGCUAUGGUGUAGGCUGGCGGCUGGAGCUCUGGUUUGAUCCCUAGCCUGGGAACUUCGAUAUGCCGCUGGUAUGGCCCUAGAAAGCAAAAAGAAAAAAAAAAGUAAAAGAAAAAAAGAAUCUUCCUCACAAGGUUUGUGGAGUCACUGGGUGAUUCUCUGUAAAGUGCUUGACUGUGACCCAGGUCAUAGCAGGGCCUUCGUGAACCUUAGGUACUGCUGUGCUUUGCAACUUGGGCACCCCCCAUGGCCCUCAAGUCCCCCCAUUGGGGAGAAGAGUCUCAUGUGCAGAGAUCAAUAUCUGCUUCAGGAAUCUGUGAGCUCCUGGACUGGAAGUUUGAGGCAUACAGGCACCUUGGCCUUCAAGGACUUUAUGAUUCAGUGGAGGAGAAAGGCCCUAAAUGGACAAUGACAGGCAGCAGUGGAGGGAUAUGGUGGCGGGGUGUUUCUCACGGGAACCCCAAGGAUGGCUCCCCAGGUGAGGCUGUGAGGCUGGCACUUUGCUGGGAAGGAAAAGUAAGUUUCCCAGGUAGAGAUUUUGGUGGAGGGGAGUCCUGUGGGCAGAGGGGAGAAGCUGAGCAGAGGCCUGGAGGUGUUACAGAGAACAGAGAGCGGUGAACCGGUCAGAAGGACUGGAUGCCUGCAGGGGCUGGAGGAGGCGUGGGGGGCUGUGGAUUGAGGGUGAGGAUUAGAGGGCAAGGUCGUCAGAUGUACUGUCUGGAAAGAGUGUGAACAGGGCUGAGC
rnacentral:lncRNA from 1 species